AACGAACGCUGGCGGCAUGCCUAACACAUGCAAGUCGAACGGGAACUUCGGGUCUAGUGGCGCACGGCUGCGUAACGCGGGGGAACCUGCCCGUAGGUUCGGAAUAACUCCCCGAAGGGGGAGCUAAGACCGGAUAGGGUCAUAGGACCAAAGAGUUAUCGCCGUUGGAUGGGGCCGCGUUGGAUUAGCUGGUUGGUAGGGUAAAAGCCUACCAAUGCGACGAUGCAUAGCUGGUCUGAGAGGAUGAUCAGCCACACUGGGACUGAGACCCGGCCCAGACUCCUACGGGAUGGAGCAGUGGGGUAUAUUGGACAAUGGGCGAUAGCCUGAUCCCGCAAUGCCGCGUGAGUGAUGAAGGCCUUAGGGUUGUAAAUCUCUUUUACCCGGGAUGUUAAUGACGGUACCGGGAGAAUAAGCUCCGGCUAACUCCGUG
rnacentral:rRNA from 1 species